UACGAAGGGGGCGAGCGUUGUUCGGAUUUACUGGGCGUAAAGGGCGCGCAGGCGGCUUAUUUUGUCAGGCGUGAAAGCCCCGGGCUUAACCUGGGAACUGCGUUUGAUACGGAUGGGCUAGAGUUCGGGAGAGGAGAGUGGAAUUCCCAGUGUAGAGGUGAAAUUCGUAGAUAUUGGGAAGAACACCGGUGGCGAAGGCGGCU
rnacentral:rRNA from 1 species